rnacentral:miRNA from 14 species
AUUAUGACACCUAAUUAUCCUAAAUAUAUAUAUAUAUAUACAUAUAUAUAUGUGUGUGUGUGUGUGUGUGUGUGUAUAUACACACAUAUAUAUACAUAUAUAUAUGAACAUUU